UUUUUCAAUUACAACUUUCAGCGAUGGAUGUCUCGGCUCAAGCAACGAUGAAGGGCGCAGCGAAGUGUGAUAAUCAUUGUGAAUUGCAGAACUCCGUGAAC
rnacentral:rRNA from 1 species